GUGAAAACCAUGCUAAUACCGCAUACGCCCUAAGGGGGAAAGCGGGGGAUCUUCGGACCUCGCGCUAUUAGAUGAGCCUGCGUAAGAUUAGCUAGUUGGUGGGGUAAAAGCCUACCAAGGCGACGAUCUUUAGCUGGUCUGAGAGGAUGAUCAGCCACACUGGAACUGAGACACGGUCCAGACUCCUACGGGAGGCAGCAGUGGGGAAUAUUGCGCAAUGGGGGAAACCCUGACGCAGCCAUGCCGCGUGUGUGAAGAAGGCCUUAGGGUUGUAAAGCACUUUCAGCNGGGAGGAAAAGUUAAUCGUUAAUAGCNAUUAGCCNUGACGUUACCCNCAGAAGAAGCACCGGCUAAUUCAGUGCCAGCAGCCGCGGUAAUACUGAAGGUGCAAGCGUUAAUCGGAAUUACUGGGCGUAAAGCGCGCGUAGGCGGCUUGUUAAGUCGGAUGUGAAAGCCCUGGGCUCAACCCGGGAACUGCAUACGAUACUGGCAAGCUAGAGUAUGGGAGAGGGCUGUGGAAUUUCUAGUGUAGCGGUGAAAUGCGUAGAUAUUAGAAGGAACAUCAGUGGCGAAGGCGGC
rnacentral:rRNA from 1 species